AUGCCUGGAGCCCACACACUGUGCCCGUGCCUGGAAGAUGCAGCCUGUGGGCCCAAGAUGGCUCCGCACCCGAAACCCAGCCGCGUCCGCGCCGGGGCCCACCUUUCCCUGGGAGGGAAGGACCCGCUCCGGCCUGUGUCUGCAGUGACUGGAGCUCCCCUGGAUGCUGGCCGGGCUGGCGACGGCCCAUCUGUCACCUGCCCCUGCCCGUCGUGCCACGGAGGCUGGCGAGAGCCUCCCCUGCAGGAAGUGGCCUCCCCACCAACCCCGCGCCUCGGCCUCCCGCUGCCCGCCCUCACCUGCCCCCCCACUCUUACCUGCCCCGACAGGUUCCACCGCUGCUCCCGCCCCAACUCUGCAGCCAGCGCCUCCCGUGUGCCAGGCCCGGGUGGGUGUGAACCGGCUUCGGAAGGAAUGGGGGGGACCCAAGCCCCUGUCCGUCCGGGUCCACAGAGCUGGGCACUUGGCCUCAGCCAGGGUCAGGCCUCAGGGCGUCUGUCGGCACGGGGCGUCCAUUGGCGCGGGGAGACCUGCCCGCUGCCCUGCAAAGGCCCCAGGAGCAGUUCUUCCUGGACCCCCUCUUGGUUUGCAGGAGCCUGGGGGCAGCUCUGACUGAGACAGGGAGAGAGAGAACACAGGUGAGGUCCCGCCAGGGAACACCUCGCAGAGCCGUGCGUCCCUGUACCGUCUCCCUCCCUCGGACACAGGCCAAGGCCCCACGGAGGACAGACAGUGGCCCCCGCGUGCCCUCUGACCUGAUCAGGCCCAGUGCGAGCAGGAAGCAAACUCCACUGACCUCCACUGAGCGGAGAGCCUGGCGCCUCCUUCCUUCCCCUCCCUCCUCCCUGCUCAUCUCCCCUGUCUCCGUGCUCUGAUCAGGACUCUGCCUUCUCCAUCAGUUCCAAAGCUCCACGCGCAGACGAAACACCUGGCGCAACGUCUGCUCUCUGACCUCAAUGGUAAAACACCAUCCAGGCACGGUGGCUCACGCCUGUAAUCCCAGCACUUUGGGAGGCUGAGGCGGGCGGAUCACUUGAGCCCAGGAGUUUGAGACCAGCCUGGGCAACAUGGUGAGAUCCCAUCUCUGCAAAAAAUUUAAAACUUAACCGGCUGUGGUGGUGCACACUUGUGGGCCUGGGAAGUGGAGGCUGCAGUGAACCUUGAUCGCACCACCGCACUCCAGCCUGGGCCAGAGUCAGACCCUGUCUCAAAAAAGAAAACACAAAGAUAAAAGGCCCCAGAGUUUUCUGCAGAUUAAUAAACUGUCUCUACCUGGAACGUGAAACAGUGAACGAGUGACUCACCGGCCCUGGGAGGAGGAAGGCCCCAGCCCCGUCCACAGCUCCUCCCACUUGGGCAGCUGUGUCCUGGCCCAGGUGCAGCCGAGCUGUGCCCUGCACAGCACAGGGCCCUCCACCCUCGCUGCUGUGGACGUGGAGAGCAGCGGGGCGCUGGGCGUGCCCCCGUAGCCCCGUAAUAAAAUCCACUGUGGCCGCUCCCCUGGCUUUGAGGAGGAAUAUUUGCGUCUGGCUGAACACCUGCUUCCUGGUCUCAUGGUGACACUCAGGCCCCACACCAUCCUGCCUAAUUCCCUAGUAGAGGGAAAAUGACCGGUGUCUGGCUGUGGAACUGGAGCUGCCGCUGCUUCUCGUGUGGAGCCGCUCGGAGAAGCGGGAGCUUGGCAGCAUGGGCCAGACUUGCUCACACUUCCUCACCUGCUUUUUCUUUCAGACAGAGUCUGGCUCUGUCGCCCAGGCUGGAGUGCAGUGGUGCAAUCUUGGCUCACUGCAGCCACCACCUCCCAGGUUCAAGCAAUUCUCCUGCCUCAGCCAUCCGAGUAGCUGGGACUACAGGUGUGCACCACCAUGCCCGGCUAAUUUUUCUAUUUUUAGUAGAGACAGGAGUUUUACCGUGUUGGCCAGGCUAGUAUCGAACUCCUGACCUCAGGUGAUCCGCCUGCCUCGGCCUCCAAAAGUAGAGACAUGGGUUUUACUGUGCUGGCCAGGUUAGUCUUGAACUCCCGACGUCAGGUGAUCCGCCUGCCUUGGCCUCCAAAAGUGCUAGGAUUACAGGCAUGAACCACCACGCCUGGCCCCUCACCUGCUUCUGAACCAAUCACUGGUUCACACUGCUCUGCUCAUCCUGGAUGAACCUGGGUAUGGCUGCUGGACGACCCCGAGCCAGCCAGUCCCCACCUAGGCCCCAGGACCCUCAGGUGCCUCUGAGCCCGUGGAUGGCCGGUUCUGAGGCCCUGAGCUGGGGGGGACAGCUAACGGAGUGGCUGAGGGCUGAUGCCCGCUCUGGGGUGCAGCAGGGCCCCUGCACCGCCUGGGUGCAAGGCUCAGGGAGGGGAGGCCUGUGACGCUCGCUGGCACAGGUCUCUCUGGGGACAAGGGCAGGGGCAGGGCUCAAGUCUCGGGAGGCCCAGGCCGGCAUCCCUCACCCACCAAGGAAGUGAGUGGCCCUGGGGCACGGCGGGUGGCGCCUGAGGCCUCUCUGCUCCUCCAUGGAGAGGGCCCGGCGGCUCUGCCAGCUGGCGUGAGCUGGUCAGUGUGGGGCCACUCCACAGCUGACCCCUCACAGUGGCUGCACUUGGGGUCGGAAUCACCAGGAACCGGUGGCUGCCAAAGGUUCCGGCCUGGCCCAC
ensembl:lncRNA